rnacentral:rRNA from 1 species
UAGGGAAUCUUCCGCAAUGGACGCAAGUCUGACGGAGCAACGCCGCGUGAGUGAAGAAGGAUUUCGGUUCGUAAAACUCUGUUGUUAGAGAAGAACAGCGCAUAGAGUAACUGUUAUGCGUGUGACGGUAUCUAACCAGAAAGCCACGGCUAACUACGUGCCAGCAGCCGCGGUAAUACGUAGGUGGCAAGCGUUGUCCGGAUUUAUUGGGCGUAAAGCGAGCGCAGGCGGUCAAUUAAGUCUGAUGUGAAAGCCCCCGGCUCAACCGGGGAGGGUCAUUGGAAACUGGUUGACUUGAGUGCGGAAGAGGGGAGUGGAAUUCCAGGUGUAGCGGUGAAAUGCGUAGAUAUAUGGAGGAACACCGGUGGCGAAAGCGGCUCUCUGGUCUGUAACUGACGCUGAGGCUCGAAAGCGUGGGGAGCAAACAG